GGUUAAGUCCGGUAACGAGCGCAACCCUCGCCAUAUGUUACAAGUGUCGUAUGGGACUGCCGAGUAUAAAAGUCGGGAGGAAGUGGGGAUGACGUCAAGUCAGCAUGGCCUUUAUGUCCGGGGCUACACACACGCUACAAUGGCCGGUACAAUAGGUAGCAAGACCGCGAGGUGGAGCCAAUCCUUAAAGCCGGUCUCAGUUCAGAUUGCAGGCUGCAACUCGCCUGCAUGAAGUCGGAGUUGCUAGUAACCGCGCGUCAGCAAUAGUGCGGUGAAUACCGGUUCCCGGGCCUU
rnacentral:rRNA from 1 species